CCUACGGGUGGCAGCAGUGGGGAAUAUUGCACAAUGGGGGAAACCCUGAUGCAGCGACGCCGCGUGAGUGAAGAAGUAUUUCGGUAUGUAAAGCUCUAUCAGCAGGGAAGAGAAUGACGGUACCUGAGUAAGAAGCCCCGGCUAACUACGUGCCAGCAGCCGCGGUAAUACGUAGGGGGCAAGCGUUAUCCGGAUUUACUGGGUGUAAAGGGAGCGUAGGCGGCGUGGAAAGUCUGAAGUGAAAGCCCGCGGCUCAACCCCGGAACUGCAUUUGAAACUGUUUUGCUGGAGUGCCGGAGAGGUAGGCGGAAUUCCUGGUGUAGCGGUGAAAUGCGUAGAUAUUAGGAGGAACACCAGUGGCGAAGGCGGCUUACUGGACGGUAACUGACGUUGAGGCUCGAAAGCGUGGGGAGCAAACAGGAUUAGAUACCCCUGUAGUC
rnacentral:rRNA from 1 species